rnacentral:rRNA from 1 species
CGGACGGGUGAGUAAUGUCUGGGAAACUGCCUGAUGGAGGGGGAUAACUACUGGAAACGGUAGCUAAUACCGCAUAACGUCGCAAGACCAAAGAGGGGGACCUUAGGGCCUCUUGCCAUCGGAUGUGCCCAGAUGGGAUUAGCUAGUAGGUGGGGUAACGGCUCACCUAGGCGACGAUCCCUAGCUGGUCUGAGAGGAUGACCAGCUACACUGGAACUGAGACACGGUCCAG